GUUGAACGCUGGCGGCAGGCCUAACACAUGCAAGUCGAACGAGUGGCGGACGGGUGAGUAAUGUCUGGGAAACUGCCUAAUGGAGGGGGAUAACUACUGGAACCGGUAGCUAAUACCGCAUACCAUCAGAUCUGCCCAGAUGGGAGUAGCUAGUUGGUGGGGUAACGGCUCACCAAGGCGACGAUCCCUAGCUGGCCUGAGAGGAUGACCAGCCACACUGGAACUGAGACACGGCCCAGACUCCUACGGGAGGCAGCAGUGGGGAAUCUUGGGCAAUGGGCGCAAGCCUGAUGCAGCCAUGCCGCGUGUAUGAAGAAGGCUUUCGGGUUGUAAAGUACUUUCAGCGGGGAGGCGUUAUCUGCACAAGAAGCAACGGCUAACUCCGUGCCAGCAGCCGCGGUAAUUC
rnacentral:rRNA from 1 species